GAACAAAUGACUAGCUUUAAAUAACAUUAAAUAUAUUUAUACUGUUAGAAUUAGUAGUUAUUUAGUUAGUAGUCAACUGUGCAUGAUAAAAUUAAGCAGUUUAAACAUGAUUUUGUAUUUCAACAAAAAAAAGUUACAAAAAUUCCUUGAAAACAGCGUAUAGAUGAACACCAACACUGGAAUGGACAAGAAUUGUGGAUUAUCUACUGGCUUUCAGACAUCAGGGGUAUUAGAUCUCUCCCGUUAAUAAGUCUCUGUUGAACUUAAACCUCUAUGGAAAGGUUUCAAACUUCUUUUUUAGUCAACUCUAUGGGAAGGUUUCAAACAUUUUUAGUCAACUCUAUGGCAAAGUUUCAAACUUUUUUAGUCAACUCUAUGGAAAGGUUUCAAACAUUUUAAGUCAUCUCUAUGGGAAGGUUUCAAUUUUUUUUUAGUCAACUCCAUGGAAAGGUUUCAAACUUUUUAAGUCAUCUCUAUGGAAAGGUUUCAAACAUUUAAGCCAACUCUAUGGAAAGGUUUCAAACUUUUUAGCAAACUCUAUGGAAAGGUUUCAAACAUUUUUAGUCAACUCUAUGGAAAGGUUUCAAACUUUUUAGUCAACUCUAUGGAAAGGUUUCAAACUUUUUUUAGUCAACUCUAUGGAAAGGUUUCAAACUUUUUUAGUCAACUCUAUGGAAAGGUUUCAAACUUUUUUAGUCAACUCUAUGGAAAUUUAUUUAUUUAUUUGGGUUUUACGGCGCACAAACACAGUAUAGGUUAUAUGGCGCCAAACAGGACUACAGGUUUCAAACAUUUUUAGUCAACUCUAUGGAAAGGUUUCAAACUUGUUUUAGUCAUCUCUAUGGAAAGGUUUCAAACUCUGCUAGUCAGGCAGGAAAUAAUUUAACAGAACUGGCAGAAUAAAGAUCACAAAUUACUCUCAG